CUGUAGGUCAUUAUGAAUGUAUGUGUGUAUGAAUGUCGGUGUCUGUAUGUAUGUCAGUGUGUAUGUAUGUAUGUGUCUGUAUGUCCUCAUGCAUGUGUGUCUGUAUGUAUGUUAGUAUGUGUCUGUCUGUCACUAUGUAUGCCUGUGUGUCUGUAUAUGUGUGUAUGUCUCAGCAUGUGUGUGUCUGUAUGUAUGCCUAUAUGCAUGUAUGUCUGUUAGUAUGUAUCUGUGUGUGUGUAACUGUGUCCUUUUGUAUCAGUGUGUGUGUUUGUGUCUUUGUGUGUAUUCCUGUGGGCGGGAUUUGGAGGCUGACCCUGUGGGCGGGAUUGGAGGCGGGCCCCAGGGGGCCCAGACCCUGAGCUGAGUUAGGGGCCCCAAAAUGUCUGGUGGCGGCCCUGCUUCCAUAUGGGGAUUUUAGCAACACUGGAGUUCCUCACAUAGCGUGAGGACGUCCAGCGACGCUAUAGCACAGAAAAUCUGUGCUAUAAACCAGAAAGUGCCCUCUAGUGGCUGUCAAGUAGACAGCCACUAGAGGAGGAGUUAACCCUGCAAGGUAAAUAUUGCAGUUUAUGAAAACUGCAAUAUUUACAAUUGCAGGGUUAAGGGUAGUGGGAGUUGGCACCCAGAGCACUCCAAUGGGCAGAAGUGGUCUGGGUGCCUGGAGUGUCCCUUUAACAAGACUAGAUACACUGUUACACUCUGCUCCCCCUCUUACUUGUUAUAACUCUACCAUUGCUAUCUUAUUUAUUAUAUAGGAUGC